AUACAGAGGGUGCAAGCGUUAAUCGGAUCUACUGGGCGUAAAGCGCGCGUAGGUGGCCAAUUAAGUCAAAUGUGAAAUCCCCGAGCUUAACUUGGGAAUUGCAUUCGAUACUGGUUGGCUAGAGUAUGGGAGAGGAUGGUAGAAUUCCAGGUGUAGCGGUGAAAUGCGUAGAGAUCUGGAGGAAUACCGAUGGCGAAGGCAGCCAUCUGGCCUAAUACUGACACUGAGGUGCGAAAGCAUGGGGAGCAAACAGGAUUAGAUACCCUGGUAGUCCAUGCCGUAAACGAUGUCUACUAGCCGUUGGGGGAUUUGAUCCUUUAGUGGCGCAGCUAACGCGAUAAGUAGACCGCCUGGGGAGUACGGUCGCAAGACUAAAACUCAAAUGAAUUGACGGGG
rnacentral:rRNA from 1 species